UGAUUGAUUUUGUUAUAUUGUAUAAUGUUUUAUCAAAUUUAUGAUGCAAUGAAAUUUUUAACUUAUUUUUUUAUACCAGUUAAUACAGUUAAAAAUUCUGAGAUUUUAUUCGUAUGCAUACAUGUAGCCUUAAACUGUGACUCAUUUUAGAAAUAAUUUCAACUACAUAGAUAUAAGAAGAUGUUGUAUGAGUGCCAAUGGGACAACUCUCCAUCCAAGUCACAAUUUGUAAACCAUUAUAAGUCAAAGUACGGCCUUCAACACUAAGCCUUGGCUCACAGCAAGCUAUAAAGGGCUCAAAAAAUGACUAGUGUAAAACAAUACAAACAGGAAGACCAACGGUCUAAUCUAUAUAAAAAACGAGAAACGAGAAACACGUAUGAACCACAUCAACAAAUGACAACCACUGAACAUUUAGUUCCUGACUUACGACAGGUGCAAACAAAUGCAGCGGGUUUAAACGUUUUAAUAGGCGCCAUCCUUCACCCUACCAAAAACAAUAGUGUAACAUCACAACAUAGAAACACACACUAUAAAAUAUCAAUUGAAAUGGCAUGUUUUGAUUUGAUUUCAUUGCAACAAAUGGAUGCUCAAUAUUUCUUGUUAUAAAUUCUUAUUUUCACUCCCUGCAGGCACACUUUGUUGAAUCAACGUUGAAUCUUUGUUGAUUUUAGGUUAUACAUUGAUCAACAAUUAUUCAACAUUGAUUCAACGUUGACAAUUCAACGUUGAAAUUAGAACAUUGUUUCAACGUUGAAUUAACAUUGUGUUGAAACACCAACAUUGAAUCAACGUUGGCUAAACAAUAUAUAAAACCCAGUAGUUGUGGAUACCAGAAUUGUCAAAAAAGAAGUAUUGGGCACAUCACAAUUCUUUUUAAAUUGACAACGAUAUUCACAUAAAAUAGAAUAUUCAGUAGAUUUAUCGCUAAUUGUCGUGGUGAUUGUAGAAUUAUAUAUAAAACAAUCGCAGUGUAUAUCAGCAUAAAUUAAUCAUGAACUUUGCACCCCAAAUAAUAGAAAUUCCCAAAUUUCACCCCACCCCAAAACAUAAUAAAUUAAUAGAACCAGCUGGCAUACAGAAUCAUACAGUAAAUAUAAAUAUUUGUGAAUAACCCCUUCCCCUAAAAAUAUGCCCCCCUUUUUCCGUGGCUGCUGAUGUCAAAUAUCUUGUUUUCAUUCCUUUUUUUUCUUUUCUAUUCUUUUUAACAAUCUAAAGAGAAAGACGUAUACAUCAGUUCAUAAACAAUGGUUGAUAACUUGUAAUAUAAACAACCGAUAGAUCUAUUGGAAUAGUGAUUUAAAUUUUCGCGGCAUUUUAAACAUUUCUACUUUAAGACAAAUUCAGAUAUGCGCAUGCGCAGUUGUUUUUGUGCCCAAUUUUGAAUAUCCGCUUUCGAGACCACAAGGUGAUUCUACAGAGUUUUUAUCAAUAUCUUUCCUGUGUACAGCUUUUAUAUGUUAUCAUGUCAUCAUGAAGACCUAUGGAAUCACGGAACAACAAGUGUCUGACCAAACAACAACCUUUCUUAGAUGGGCUCCAAAAAGACAGGGUGGGCUAGAAGAAAGAAGUUGAAGUUUUCACUAUUAAUAAAUAAAUUUAUUUUAAUUUUA